UGGACAAUCUGUUUGUGUGAAAAUGCCGUCGGCGAUGGUGAUUUAAGAUCUCAGAUGGAAAGCAAGCAGAACUGUAACGAGCUGAAGAGAGAGUGUAUGUACGAGUAUGUAUGAAUGUCCGAUUAAAUAAUCUCACAUGAAUAAGAGGCGGCUAUUUCGUGGCGAGUGUUCAUAUGCUUCUAUUUCAAUUUCAGUUUCAAUUCGACUAUAUGCGGGAUAGUUCAGAUGACCGGCUUAGUCAGUAAUCAACUGCAGUUCGGGGUGGAAAGUGCCGAGUGGAAAGAGUGGAAAGUGGGCGGGGAAAAUCGCUCUUGUUGUUGCGGAAUUGACUCGCACCAAUACACCUAAAUAUGCACACUGACUACCCAUAUAUGAGGGCGAUCUCUCGCACAUACACGCAUCUUUACACACACACUGGGAGAGUAAUGAAUUGAUGGUUAUUUUCAAAAAUCCAACGACUGUCCGCGCGAUCACUGCACAAAUCAGUUGUGGAAUCGCCCUCGAGCGGCAAUGUUCUCCGCGUUCUCAAAACUCGGACCUUUAGAUCUCAGAUCUCUUGGUUUCCCAAAAGCCACUGUGUAAUCUUUAUAUCUUUGAAACAAUGUAUUAAAUCGAGAAAUUAUGUUAAAAACGGUGCUUCACACAAUCUUGCUCUGGCUGUUUGAGUUGCUCAUUAAUUUUUACAAAAUUCUAUAAGUAUAAACGAAAAUAUAUAUGUUUUCGAGAUCGACGGCUACUGGUCAAUUCUCCGAUCGGGGUUAAGACCCUACCCAAGGCGCGAUAAUCGCAAUCAACGUUGCUCGUCGCCGAGCGGCAACAACAACAGCAGCAACAUAGCAACAGCAACAGCAACAGCACAACAGCAACUUCUACGGCAUCAACAUCGGCGAUGAGUCUUCUCAGCGUGCGGAUCUCUAUCUCACACCCACUCUCUUCUUUUGAUUCUCCGGAAUGCAAACAACAUGCUGGAGCCAUGGAAUCAGGAGGGAUUAAGUAUCAAGGUUCAUAGAUCAAAGAUGGGGGCAACACAACGUACAUCGAAGCGAACGGCCAUUUCGUCCUCACAAUAAAUUAUGAACUAUAUACAGUUGUCGGUUCGGAGCGGUUAGACAAUUUCAAAUUA